rnacentral:rRNA from 1 species
GACAGAGGUGCCGAGCGUUAGGCGGAAUCACUGGGCUUAAAGCGUGUGUAGGCGGAUGCCUAAGUACCUUGUGAAAUCCCACGGCUUAACCGUGGAACUGCUCGGUACACUGGGUAUCUUGAGCCACUUAGGGGCGACCGGAACAAACGGUGGAGCGGUGAAAUGCGUAGAUAUCGUUUGGAACGCCAAUGGUGAAAACAGGUCGCUGGGAGUGUGCUGACGCUGAGACACGAAAGCCAGGGGAGCGAACGGG